UCCCAAUUUGUCCCCCCUUUUUCUCUUAUCUUAGGAAAAGGCUACAAAGAAGACGGCGACAGAUAGUAAUGUUCAUAAAUGAACUAUAUUUCUUGAGGGCAGUGGAGAUGGUAGAAAGUCUACCAAGAAUGCUGUGGUUUGAGAAACGGGAGCAUGUUCGCUCUCAUUCGCAAAGAUAAGGGGGGGGAGAUGAAAAGCGCAAGUCGAACUGAAGUAACUGUGUUCUGACCAUCCGAUAUAUAAGAGAGUAACAGUAAAUUAUAAAAGUAUAGAAGAAGAUUAUCAAAUGGUAUCUAAAAUGUCAAAUAUCCAAAAUUGAGAGAAGGUAUUAGCUUGGAGAAUCCAAUAUAAAAAGAAAAAAAAUUAUAAUUACUGACCACUUUUGCUUUGUGACCGUUCAACCCAUUGAGAAACCACGAAAAUAAAAAUUUUGCAAACAAAAAAAGAUUAAAAAUAAAAUAUAAAAAAAAGGGAG
rnacentral:sRNA from 1 species